CUCCAGAGCCCUGGAAACACACAGCUCACAAGCAAUGGGGGUCAUCACCAGAAAAGCUACUCACAGAAGAUAAAAAUAUUAAAGACAAUAGAAGAUAACAGAAAAAAAGAAGAAAGAAGCACAAAGAAAAAAAAAGAAGAAAGAAGCAGAAAGAGAGAAAAAAAAGAAGCAGAAAGAAAAAUGGAAAAAGAAAGGAACAAAAAAGAAAACAGAUAAGACUAAAGAAGAAAGAAAGAAGAUAGAAAGGAAGAAGGAAAGAAAGAGAAAAGAAAGAAAGGGAAGCCCUGGUGGGUUGAAGACGACAGAGGAAGUUGACAGAAGAAAACACCAGAAGACAACAGACAGAAAGACAAACAAGAAAAAAGAAACAAGAAAAAGAAAAGAAAAAGAAAAAUAGAAUGAAAUAAAAAGAAGAACCAGAAAGAAAGAAACUAAAAAAGGAAGAAAAAAGGAAGAAAAAAAGAUACUAUUAAAGAAUAAAGAUGAAAGAGAAAAGAAAGAAGAAGAAGAAAGAAAGAAAGAAAGAAAGAAAGAAAGAAUAUAAUGGUUUAUAUGUCAAGUUGUGUGUCUAAAAUCUUGUUGCAUUUUCUAUGCCUAUGUAUGGUAUUGUAAAACCCUUAUGUUGUCUUAUAGAUAAAAGUAUUAAAGAUGACAGAAGAUGACAGAAGACGACAACAGAAAAAGACAAGAGGCAGAAAGACAGACAGAAGAAGAAAAAAGAAGCAAGAAAAAGAAAAAAGAAUGAAAUAAAGAAAAAGAAAGAAGCAGAAAGAAAGAAAUGAAGAAAAAGAAGAAAAUGGAAAGAAAAUAGAAAAAAGAUAGUAUAAAAGCAGAAAGAAAGAUGACAGAUGAAAGAGAAGGAAGAAAGAAAGAAAAGAAGAUAGAGUAAUUUGUGUGCUAUAAAAGUAUUAAAGACAACAGAAAAUUAAAGAAGAAAACAGAAGACGACAACAGAAGAAGACAACAGACAGAAAAACAGAAGAAAAAAGAAGCAAGAAAAAAGAAGAAGAAAGAAACAGAAAUAAAGAAUGAAAUAAAGAAAAAAAGAGUGAAGCAGA